AUUGAACGCUGGCGGCAGGCCUAACACAUGCAAGUCGAACGGUAACAGGAAGAAGCUUGCUUCUUUGCUGACGAGUGGCGGACGGGUGAGUAAUGUCUGGGAAACUGCCUGAUGGAGGGGGAUAACUACUGGAAACGGUAGCUAAUACCGCAUAACGUCGCAAGCCCAAAGAGGGGGACCUUCGGGCCCCUUGCCAUCGGAUGUGCCCAGAUGGGAUUAGCUAGUAGGUGGGGUAACGGCUCACCUAGGCGACGAUCCCUAGCUGGUCUGAGAGGAUGACCAGCCACACUGGAACUGAGACACGGUCCAGACUCCUACGGGAGGCAGCAGUGGGGAAUAUUGCACAAUGGGCGCAAGCCUGAUGCAGCCAUGCCGCGUGUAUGAAGAAGGCCUUCGGGUUGUAAAGUACUUUCAGCGGGGAGGAAGGGAGUAAAGUUAAUACCUUUGCUCAUUGACGUUACCCGCAGAAGAAGCACCGGCUAACUCCGUG
rnacentral:rRNA from 1 species